UGGAGGAAGUUUGAUCCUGGCUCAGGACGAACGCUGGCGGCGUGCCUAAUACAGGGCGGGGUGGGGACGCUUCUUUUUCCACCGGAGCUUGCUCCACCGGAAAAAGAAGAGUGGCGAACGGGUGAGUAACACGUGGGUAACCUGCCCAUCAGAAGGGGAUAACACUUGGAAACAGGUGCUAAUACCGUAUAACAAUCGAAACCGCAUGGUUUUGAUUUGAAAGGCGCUUUCGGGUGUCGCUGAUGGAUGGACCCGCGGUGCAUUAGCUAGUUGGUGAGGUAACGGCUCACCAAGGCCACGAUGCAUAGCCGACCUGAGAGGGUGAUCGGCCACAUUGGGACUGAGACACGGCCCAAACUCCUACGGGAGGCAGCAGUAGGGAAUCUUCGGCAAUGGACGAAAGUCUGACCGAGCAACGCCGCGUGAGUGAAGAAGGUUUUCGGAUCGUAAAACUCUGUUGUUAGAGAAGAACAAGGAUGAGAGUAACUGUUCUCCCUUGAC
rnacentral:rRNA from 1 species